CCACCAAAGUUGAGUUCUUUAUAUGCCUUGAAAUAGCAGAGCAAAUUACCAUCAUUGCUUAUGUUAUUUGAAGUCAAAACGUUCUUACAUUGGAGACAGCUGUGGAUUUUGAAUGCUUUGCUUAACAAAUAUCCUGAAACAUAGGCAGCAGCAUUUUUGAGCAAUAAAUUGUUGCUAAUAUUUUGUUCUCGGUAGUCAUUUUCACCAAUCAACAGUGAGUUACUUGGAGCUUUUGCAUGGACCAGUUUCCUUUGGAAGAGGUCAAAAGUGAACUGAAAAAAACCUUUCGAAAAGCUCUGAUAAAUUGUAUUGGCGUGGGAUUGUCAGAAUUACCUCCUUGCUGGCAUAUUGUUCCAAAAAAAUUCUCUAGAGCAUCUGUGUUUAAUCUUCUGUGUGGAACUAUUGAUGCAAUCGAAAAGUGAAUCAAAUUUUAAAAGCAACUCAGCUGUACCCAAGGCUGAUGGUGGUAGUGCUCCAAUUGAUGAAUAUGUGCAAAUCGAUGCAGCAACGGUGUGGCUGAAUAUUUGUGCAGCAUAUUUAACUUGAAAAUUAAUCUGAAUUAAUGCAGCGACAGCGAUGUAACGAAAAUAACAAUAUAUAUAUAUAUAUUAAUAGAAGCAAGAGGAUAAUUUUAUUUCCUUACAACGGAAUCAAUACUUUAUAUUAUCUAAAACAUGACAAAUAUUAGGAACAUAUAGUUAAGAGCAUCUGGAAGUUAGCUACAAUCAUACAAUAUAAGAAUUUUCCCAACACAAUAUGGCAUUGGCAUUAAAUACAAUUGCACAAGUUUGCAAUUUCUCAAUGAACAUUUAUCGAGUGUUCGGGAUAUAACUAAAUUUGUCUGAAUUCUAAAGCACCAAAUCCAAUGUCAUACGAAAUAUCUUUUUUAUUGUUCCUUCUUGUUUCUGAUUUAAAGACGUUCGUUAAGCGCUUCUCCGCUUCCGUUCUUUACAAAUAAAUAAAUACGAAUAACCUUGA